AUUGAAAACGGUCAACUACAUUUGAAAAGAAAUGAUAGUUACUUUUAUCAAGUCCAGGGUCAACUGCACAUAACACGCAAAAUGUUUUGUUAUUUUUGUAUCUGGACACCUAAAGGUUUGAUGUAUGAAAAAAUUGAAAGAGACGAUGAUUUCUGGGAUAAAAAUAUGAAGUCUCAACUAACGACGUUUUUUACGGAUCACUUUUUAUCUGAAGUUUUAAAAGACAGUCUUUUAUCGAAUUAAUAAAUAUAAUAUUUACGAGAA